UCCAGAUCCAGAGGCCGACAAGACAUACCAGAGUGACGGGGAGGCACGUGUGGAUGUGUUGGAUGCCAUCGUGCCCCACAUUACGCUCCGGCCUUUGAGGAUGCCUGCAGACCAAACCAUCUUCUUGUCUUCCAGAAGUUGGAAAAGUUCUGCUCUGCUCUGGUGGAGGUUAGGCUGACAGAGGACAAUGUCCACAUCAAAGGGUCUGGACCACACAGUGUACGACAGCUACGAACACUUUACUUCUGUUGUGGACAAGGUGGAGCGUUGAGCUGUAGACACCCUGUAUAUAUCUGUAAUUAUGGGACAGUUGCAUUGUAAGUAACUUAACUGUAGUGAUGUGGUGUUAUCAGCAAUUUAUUCAAUCAGGUGAUAAGAUAAUUUAUCUGUAAAGAAUUGCAUCUCAUUGUAGUGUGGUUUUGUGUACAUUGUAAAUAGUUUCGAUCUUCAUGUACAUAUUGUAGUCUUCUUUUUCAUGACUGCACUGUUUUUUCUGAUUGUUCUCCAUUUCAUGCACUGUAUUCAAUAAAGUGUUAA